rnacentral:tRNA from 1 species
GGGGUUGUGGCUCAGCGGUAGAGCACUCUCUCGCCUAGUCUGUGGGAGGCCCUGGGUUCGAUCCUCAGCACCACA